ACCAGAGACGUUGCAGUGGCGUGAGCCAUGAGAUGUUUUUCAUUGCUCUCUCUUCAAUAUCUUUAAUUCAACUAAUUCCUUUUCUUGAUGAUUCUUCUCCACCCAAGGACAAAUGUGGCGUCGAACCUUCUCGAAACUCCACCUCAGAGCUUCGGGCUUAGGGUUUCUGAGACGAUCGUUCUCGUGCGAACCGGGGAAGAGGUUCGCGGCGUUAUGGGGAAACGGCGAUUACGGAAGAUUGGGUCUGGGAAACUUGGAUUCCCGAUGGACACCCGCUGUUUGCUCCGCGCUUCGCAACGAAACCCUUAAGGCCAUUGCUUGUGGCGGUGCUCACACCCUCUUCUUAACAGACAAUGGAUGCGUUUAUGCUGCUGGUCUCAAUGAUUUCGGACAGCUUGGUAUAUCAGAGAGUAAACACUACUCAGUGGAGCCACUUCGUGUUUUUGGACACGAGAAGAAAAUUGUGCAGAUCUCUGCUGGUUAUAAUCAUUCUUGUGCAAUUACAGUGGAUGGAGAACUAUACAUGUGGGGAAAAAAUACAAGUGGGCAGCUUGGACUUGGAAAAAGGGCUUCAAACAUAGUUCCUUUGCCAACCAAAGUGGAAUACUUGGAUGGAAUCAACAUUAAAAUGGCGGCUCUGGGUUCUGAGCACUCAAUGGCUAUUAGUGAUGGAGGAGAAGCCUUUAGUUGGGGAAUGGGAGUGUCUGGUAUACUUGGCCAUGGUCAUGAGUCAAGCAUCCUAGGAUUCUUCAAAAGUAACAGUGAGUAUACCCCAAGGCUUAUAAAAGAUCUUGAAGGAAUCAAGGUAAAAUAUGUAGCUGCUGGGUUACUGAAUUCAGCAUGUACUGAUGAAAAUGGUUCUGUUUUUAUAUUUGGUGAAAGAGGGAUUGACAAAUUGCGUUUAAAGGAGAUGAGCAAUGCAACAAAACCAUCCUUGAUUAGUGAACUCCCAUACUCAAAAGAAGUUGCUUGCGGUGGCUAUCACACCUGUGUACUGACAAAUUCUGGUGAACUUUAUACUUGGGGUUCAAAUGAAAAUGGCUGCCUUGGUAUUGGUUCAUCAGAUGUUAUUCAUCUUCCUGAAAAGGUUCAAGGGCCAUUCUUGAAGUCAUCUGUUAGCCAGGUUUCAUGUGGUUGGAAGCAUACUGCAGCCAUUUCUGGAAUGAGAUGGCGUGGACUAGAAGUUAAUAAUCAGUUUCUUGGCUCCUGGAGAAAAUCAUUUUUUCUUGUUUCCACUAUUUGUGGUGGCAUCAUCAGCAGCAACCUGCGAUAAUGUGAGGAAGGAAGAGUCUUCACAUGGGGCUGGGGAGGAUCCAAUGGGACUUUCUCUGAAGUUGGAUAUUCUUCAGGUGGACAAUUGGGUCAUGGAAGUGAUGUGGACCGUGUAAAUCCUACUAGAGUUUGUUUUGGAGAAGAAGUGAAAGCAUUGCAAGUUUCAUGUGGGUUCAAUCAUACAGGUGCUAUACUUGAACAUACAUAGGUUUGGCUGCUCCAAUGAUUCAUAAUGAUCGGUAUUUCAUCAAGAAGAUCCAGAAUGUGAUUUGUCACCCUGUGUAUCUUCUGUACAUCACCAUAUUAAAGAAAUAUACAUCUUCUAACCCAUCCAAGAGGAUUCAGGAAGUUUCAGCAUGCCUUGAGUGAAAACAUAUAUUAUCCAUCUGUUGUAAUUAUAUCAUUCUUUUCACAGGAAAAUAGACGCCCAGUCAUAUAUAUAUAUAUAUAUAAAAUAAAGCUUCCUUGUGAUGUACAAAACUUGUGUAAAGAAAGAGCGCUGCUUCAAGUAAUUAAAAAUGCGUGGGAAUGAUGGCAGGGAUAAGGAAAAAAAGUUGUGUGUCUGUUUUUCUUAUUGUAUUGGUUAGUUGAGUUAAUACCACUUUACAGAGUCUGUUCCUUGAGAGAAGUUAGCCAAGAUGGUUCAAGUAAAUCAUAGUUGGCGAUAUAUCUUGUUAAUCGUCAUUGCGUAUAGAUGUUUUUGCAGCAUUAUAAUUGAGGAGGCAUAUCUUUUACUAUAUGUAAUUUUGUGGAUGUUCUCACUGAUUUAUGUGGUUCUGCAAUUUGCCACA